AGAACGAACGCUGGCGGCAUGCCUAAUACAUGCAAGUCGAACGAGAUCUUCGGGUCUAGUGGCGCACGGGUGCGUAACGCGUGGGAAUCUACCCUUGGGUUCGGAAUAACAGUUGGAAACGACUGCUAAUACCGGAUGAUGACGAAAGUCCAAAGAUUUAUCGCCCAAGGAUGAGCCCGCGUAGGAUUAGCUAGUUGGUGAGGUAAAGGCUCACCAGGCUACGAUCCUUAGCUGUCUGAGAGGAUGAUCAGCCACACUGGGA
rnacentral:rRNA from 1 species